rnacentral:rRNA from 1 species
UUCCCAGACUCCUACGGGAGGCAGCAGUGAGGAAUAUUGGUCAAUGGGCGAGAGCCUGAACCAGCCAAGUCGCGUGAAGGAUGAAGGAUCUAUGGUUUGUAAACUUCUUUUAUAUGGGAAUAAAGUGAGGAACGUGUUCCUUUUUGUAUGUACCAUAUGAAUAAGCAUCGGCUAACUCCGUGCCAGCAGCCGCGGUAAUACGGAGGAUGCGAGCGUUAUCCGGAUUUAUUGGGUUUAAAGGGUGCGUAGGCGGAGUGUCAAGUCAGCGGUAAAAUUUCGGGGCUCAACCCCGUCGUGCCGUUGAAACUGACGCCCUUGAGUGAGUGAGAAGUAAGCGGAAUGCGUGGUGUAGCGGUGAAAUGCAUAGAUAUCACGCAGAACGCCGAUUGCGAAGGCAGCUUACCGGCGCUCAACUGACGCUGAGGCACGAAAGUGCGGGUAUCGAACAGGAUUAGAUACCCUGGUAAA